rnacentral:rRNA from 1 species
GACGAACGCUGGCGGCGUGCUUAACCCAUGCCAGUCGAACGGAAAGGCCCUGCUUUUGUGGGGUGCUCGAGUGGCGAACGGGUGAGUAACACGUGAGUAACCUGCCCUUGACUUUGGGAUAACUUCAGGAAACUGGGGCUAAUACCGGAUAGGAGCUCCUGCUGCAUGGUGGGGGUUGGAAAGUUUCGGCGGUUGGGGAUGGACUCGCGGCUUAUCAGCUUGUUGGUGGGGUAGUGGCUUACCAAGGCUUUGACGGGUAGCCGGCCUGAGAGGGUGACCGGCCACAUUGGGACUGAGAUACGGCCCAGACUCCUACGGGAGGCAGCAGUGGGGAAUAUUGCACAAUGGGCGGAAGCCUGAUGCAGCAACGCCGCGUGCGGGAUGACGGCCUUCGGGUUGUAAACCGCUUUCGCCUGUGACGAAGCGUGAGUGACGGUAAUGGGUAAAGAAGCACCGGCUAACUACGUG